GACGAACGCUGGCGGCGUGCCUAAUACAUGCAAGUAGGACGCAGUUGCGAACGGGUGAGUAACGCGUAGGUAACUGCCUAUUAGAGGGGGAUAACUAUUGGAAACGAUAGCUAAUACCGCAUACUAGUAGAUGGACCUGCGUUGUAUUAGCUAGUAGGUCGGGUAAUGGCCUAACUAGGCGACGAUACAUAGCCGACCUGAGAGGGUGAACGGCCACACUUGGACGGAGACACGGGCCAGACCCCUACGGGAGGCAGCAGGAGGGAAUCUUCGGCAAGUGGGGGAACCCUGACCGAGCAACGCCGCGUGAGUGAAGAAGGUUUUCGGAUCGUAAAGCUCUGUUGUUAAGGAAGCGGUACUUAACCAGAAAGGGACGGCUAACUACGUGCCAGCAGCCGCGGUAAUUC
rnacentral:rRNA from 1 species